rnacentral:rRNA from 1 species
CCUACGGGGGGCAGCAGGGAGGAAUAUUGGUCAAUGGGCGCGAGCCUGAACCAGCCAAGUAGCGUGAAGGAUGACUGCCCUACGGGUUGUAAACUUCUUUUAUAAAGGAAUAAAGUGAGGCACGUGUGCCUGUUUGGAUGUACUUUAUGAAUAAGGAUCGGCUAACUCCGUGCCAGCAGCCGCGGUAAUACGGAGGAUCCGAGCGUUAUCCGGAUUUAUGGGGUUUAAAGGGAGCGUAGAUGGGUUGUUAAGUCAGUUGUGAAAGUUUGCGGCUCAACCGUAAAAUUGCAAUUGAUACUGGCAGCCUUGCGUACAGUUGCGGUCGGCGGCAUUCGUGGUGUAGCGG